CUGGAAUGAUGACAGUUAGCCAAAUCAGAAUACGGUGUGCUCCUCUAGACUAUUCUUGAUCAGUGCUCUUGGUGAAAAUUUUCUUUGAAGUACCAAGCACAUGAUGUUAAGACUAGAGUUGAAGUUUGCACCAUUGAUGAUAAAAACUGGGAUUGGUAGCUUUCUGACCAUGA